rnacentral:rRNA from 1 species
GAGUUUGAACCUGGCUCAGGAUGAACGCUGGCGGCGUGCCUAAUACAUGCAAGUCGAGCGAACCACUUCGGUGGUGAGCGGCGAACGGGUGAGUAACACGUAGGUGAUCUGCCCAUCAGACGGGGACAACGAUUGGAAACGAUCGCUAAUACCGGAUAGGACGAAAGUUUAAAGGUGCUUCUGGCACCGCUGAUGGAUGAGCCUGCGGCGCAUUAGCUAGUUGGUAGGGUAAAGGCCUACCAAGGCGACGAUGCGUAGCCGACCUGAGAGGGUGAACGGCCACACUGGGACUGAGACACGGCCCAGACUCCUACGGGAGGCAGCAGUAGGGAAUCUUCGGCAAUGGGCGAAAGCCUGACCGAGCAACGCCGCGUGAAUGAUGAAGGCCUUCGGGUUGUAAAAUUCUGUUAUAAGGGAAGAACGACUUUAGUAGGAAAUGGCUAGAGUGUGACGGUACCUUAUGAGAAAGCCACGGCUAACUACGUGCCAGCAGCCGCGGUAAUACGUAGGUGGCGAGCGUUAUCCGGAAUUAUUGGGCGUAAAGAGCGCGCAGGUGGUUGAUUAAGUCUGAUGUGAAAGCCCACGGCUUA